CAACAUCAUGACCUGAGCUGAUGUCAGAUGCUUGACCACCAGAGCCACCCAGGGAGCCCCUGGGAGAGCCCAUGGAUGAUGACUCAACAUAACCCAUCUGUAUAGCUGAAAAGAAUGUUUGGGACAGACGUUCAGCCGCACCAGGCUUCAUCAACAGAUGAGGGCUGCCUUCAAGAUAAUCUCAAAAAGGGGAGUUCCCAGGACCUGUCAGAGGAGGGGCUGUUCUGAGUAGAACCAUUUGUGUGGAGUGUCUGAAUAGAAGGAGCCAAGAACAGAAGGCUAUCCAGUGGACCAAAAUUUGGAAUGGGAGACCCAGGCUGAGGCAGGAUAGAGAGAUUAUAGAGAUUGUCAGUAAGGACUCAAGCAGAGCUAAGUCAAGUGUAAAGGGGUUAAGUGGGGCUAUUGGUGGUUCAGCUAAUUCUGGGAGCCCUGCAUGCUUAUCCGCUGUUUCCUUUUAUUUGGGCCCUUGCAGGAUCAAUGUGGUUUGUGCGAGUCAAUGUAUACAUUUCCCUGAUGAUUAGGAGUUUGUAACUGCAAAAUACGUGCUAGCUUAAUCCCUCUAGAUCUCAAUUUCCUCAUCUGUGAAGGGAAAACAAUAGCAAUGCAUAGCUCACAGAUUGGCAUGGGGGUCAAGCUGAUGGAUGUGAAAGCACUUUGUGUAAAGGGCUGUGAAUAUUACUUUUAUGAUUAUUACUAAUAAUACCAAUAAGAAGAGAACUCAAAAGUAUUUCCUCUCCUAGGAUAAACAUUUUCAUGGUCUUCUAGAAUGUUAUAAAUGGGCAUGAGUCCUGUACGACGUGGACACUUUAUGAAGAAGUUGUGGGUGUCUGUGGCAUAGUGGCCCGCACUGGAUAGUUGGGUAGGUUGUACCAUGCACAAGGGUGCUCUGCUGAGCAGGUGAGUGGGCACUGACAUCCAGCCAGCAGCAAGUGGGCUGCAUCUAUGUUUGAUUCCACAAGGCCCUCUACAAGCCGGCAGUGGCUCCAAGGGCACCCACCAGCACACUUCUGUAAAUGUUUAGAAUCACUUGGCCUUUGCUUACCAAAACCGGUAACGGGGAGUCAGUUGACUUUCUUCAGCGAUGGACAUUUUCAUAACGACUUUCCCAUCUGUAUCUCCAGUGACAGGCAGUCUCUCCUCUACUUACAUGCCCUGCCUUCCUUUCAAACUCACCAUAUCCGUAUUCAAAACUCCACUUUUCUCAAUUCAGAAUUUGGGUUGGAUUCUCUACUUCUCACCUGCUGUGUUUGAUACUCCUUUUCAUCUACCCCACCUGGAUGCUGCUUAUGACAUCGAGUGACAAGAAGCUCACUACCUUGUGAGGUAGCCAAUUCCACUUGUAAGCAACUCUUAGCACUCGGAAACUUCUACAUAUUGAAUCUGCAUCUGCCUGCCUGAGCUCCACCGGACGCCCACACCCAGCAGUUGGGAGAUCAGAAAGACACCAUCUGCUGAUUAAUAAACAGACAUGUAUUCACUUAUAAGUUGAUUGAAUCAGGGUGUCUCUUGAUGUCCCUGUUCUGAAUGUUCAUACAUUCCACCACAUACUCCCUUAUCUAAGUCACACCCAGAGGCUAUGUGGCUCGGAUGAAUCACAUCUGAACUGACCAUCCUCCCUGGAAUCCAUGGGCUGCAGAGGACGUGAAUUUAGCCAAAGUGGACACCUGCCAUGGACUCAGAACAGGAGUGGUUCUGGAGGAGCACAUCUUUACAGAGUCCAUUUGGGGCCCUGACCGCAAGGCCUGAGGAUCAUGGAUGGUGCUUCUGUGGAGCACUCCCUGCAUGCUCAGUCCUGGGUUGUGCGGAGCAUGUGAUGGAACCAGAAUAAAUCAAAAGACCUGGGUCCUAGCACCUCAGAUAGAAGAGAGGAAUGGUGGCUGGUUUGGGACAGCAAGUUAAGGCAUUUCGUGGGCUUUUUAUCUAUCUAGGCCAGAUUGGGACCUAGCACCCCACAAUGUCCCCCAAACGAAUUAAUAUUCUGCCUCAAGAUCCACAAAUCUCUCCAGCCCCUCUGAGCUCGCUGACUUCCCCUCUCGCUCUGGAGCGUGUUCAUUUCCCUGGGCGUUGCAAGCGCUUGCGCUCUCAGGGCUCGGCUGGGGCCUUGGUCUGCCCUCCUCCAAGUGGAGACGAAGAGCUACAGAGGUACGGGGGCCCCUCAGCCAUUCACCUGCGGUAUCUCCAGCUCAGUGUCCCAGAGACAUUAAGAGUCAAAGGGGAGAUGAUUUGCUUUGUUUUUUAAAGAGAUGCUGAAGAAGCAGAAUGAAGCACAAAGUCAAGAGGAGUCCGUCAUUCCACUGCCCAAAGGUUUACAGGCGGAAAAAAAUCCUUUCAUGAGAAGGGUACUCACACCAGUUUGCAAGGCACUUCCAGUUUCCAGAAGGGACACCGAGGCCCCCCGGUUUAAAAGGGCU